GGGGAUUUAGCUCAGCGGUUCAGUGGCCUGCCUUGCAAGCACAAGGACCCGAGUUCAAUCCCCGGUAUCCCCC
rfam:Fukomys damarensis contig160520, whole genome shotgun sequence.